UGCAACAACUCGCACGUGCCCUCCUCACUCCUCACUAGUUCUGAUAAAAAUUCUGCCCAAUUUGCCAAAAAAAUAAAAUCUAUCCUCGAUCGCCGCCAAAAUUAAUCUCCGGCCAUGGCAGUCGGCGUCUCCCGCCUAAUCGCGGCGGCGAUAGCGCCGAGGCGUGCGAGAUCGCAGAUCGCGUCUCUGUGGGUGUGGUCGCCGCUUGCGGAUCUCUGCGAUCGAGCUCUGAUGCUAGUAGACGCGGUCUCCAUCGCGUCCAGGGCUCAGAACGAGGGGGAGACCAGAGACGAGCUCAUCUGCUUCAUCAAUCUCCGAUCUCCGCCCUACUCAAGUCCCUAGCCCUUCAGGCUUGGGCCAUAACCAUACAUAACAAUUAAUGCCCUCCGGCGAUUUAUAAUUACAACAGCGAUUAUCUUCUGAGCUCAGAUAUCAAUUACGCAAGAUAUGAGAUGCUUGCUGCAGCAAAGUGUAUAAGGAUACCUUUAGUUGCAUUGCGUAUGUGUUAUACGCGCACAAAAUCAUAGCUUGUACAAUUGUAGUCUUUUUUUCCUUUUUUCUUUUUAAAUUGGUUGCUACAAAUUUGAUCAAGGCUGGAACCUAAGCAACGAAGUUUGCUAUUUCUAAUGUGUACUGAAUUGUACAUACUGUUGCAGAAUGCACUUGUAUAUGAUCUCUGAUGAAUCAUGAGUUACUGCUGGCAGAAGUUGUUCAAGAAUGCAUCUCUUCUGUUACAGACAAAACAAAGACAUGCUCUCUCAUUUUUAAGUUUUGACAGCCUUUGUGGCUUUGUGCA